rnacentral:rRNA from 1 species
GAUGAACGCUGGCGGCGUGCCUAAUACAUGCAAGUCGAGCGAACGGACGAGAAGCUUGCUUCUCUGAUGUUAGCGGCGGACGGGUGAGUAACACGUGGAUAACCUACCUAUAAGACUGGGAUAACUUCGGGAAACCGUAGCUAAUACCGGAUAAUAUUUUGAACCGCAUGGUUCAAAAGUGAAAGACGGUCUUGCUGUCACUUAUAGAUGGAUCCGCGCUGCAUUAGCUAGUUGGUAAGGUAACGGCUUACCAAGGCAACGAUGCAUAGCCGACCUGAGAGGGUGAUCGGCCACACUGGAACUGAGACACGGUCCAGACUCCUACGGGAGGCAGCAGUAGGGAAUCUUCCGCAAUGGGCGAAAGCCUGACGGAGCAACGCCGCGUGAGUGAUGAAGGUCUUCGGAUCGUAAAACGCUGUUAUUAGGGAAGAACAUAUGUGUAAGUAACUGUGCACAUCUUGACGGUACCUAAGCAGAAAGCCACGGCUAACUACGU